rnacentral:lncRNA from 1 species
UUAAAAUGAUUGUGUAGUCACGUAUCUUUUGAAGCACUGCUACAAAAUAUAAGAAAUAGUGAGAAAAUAUGGUAAUAGAGCUAGGGAAAGGACGCGUUUUACUGACGGCGCAGAGAUACAACUAUUCGUGCCUGAUGGAUGUCCGUGUUGUAUCUGCAAAUUGAAGGCGCGAUAGCGCGAGGCGUGAACUCGCAAUGCUCUUAUGCUAAUAAGAGUAAAGUGCCACUUAGAUUCAAUGUGAGUUACCUGUUAACCGGAGAAAAAAAGCAACAUUCAUGAGAGCAAGAAUCUUCCAGACAGUUAUAAAAUUGGUGAUGAUCACAAUUGCAUCGAUUCUAUUUAUCUUUAUUCGUUCUUAGAUCAUAAAAGUAUAUUCUUACUCAACAAAUAUUAUCAUAAGUUUUAGAUUUAGUUCCCAGUUUCGACAUUUUAGGAGAUAACUUUGUUUGCAGAUCAUUAGUUGCAGAAUGCGCUAAGAUAUAUAUAACAUAAAUUAUGUUUUUUUUUACCCUGUUUGAAGGCUAACUGUUUAAAUUUGGAGCAAUUAACUUGUCCGACAAUGACAAGGACGGGUCCAAACCCGAUUACGUUCCUGUCGCGAAAAUUACAGCCCAUCCUUUGUUUAAGCCAGAGAGCAUUUCGGAGGGAUACGACAUUGCAGUUUUAACUCUAAAGAGGAAGGUACAAUUUUCAGAACUUGUCAGAACCUGUGUGUCUGCCUCAUAAGAAUAUCUUCUUCACGAAUAAAGAUUUCGAAGGGUAUCAGCCGUUUGUUGCGGGCUGGGGAAAGCUUGAUGAAGAGGGAGACACCGCAAAGAUUCUAAUGCAAGUUCAGUUCCUAUACUGAGGCACGGAAGAUUGUCUCAGUCUCCUAGAGAAAUUCUAAUGCAAUUAUGCACCCUGACUCGGUGUGCGCACUGGCAGAGGGUAAAGAUGCUUGCAGUAGUGACAGCGGUGGUCCGCUGAUGUUGCCAAUUGAGGAUCGAUAUUAUUUGUAUGGCGUGUGGUCUCUACGGCGAUGGAUGUGCCAACCAGACAGCCCUGGCGUUACAAUAAAGUCACACUCACUUAAAAUGGAUUGCCGACCAGUUGGAUGAACCAUUAAAUUUCUUUGUUCGUUUUCUGAUCGGAUGAGUGAAUGACUCUUACUUAAGAGACGUUCAUGAUAAAGAAUUAAAUUCAAGACAAAUGUAUAAUUAAGCUGCACAACGGAACAUGUAACUGUCAUUUCGGUUUCAUACGUGCAUGACGAAACAUCGAGAAGCACGCGGCUUAUUGGAAAAAUUAUAGACUGUAUGUCUUUUGAUCAUAAAAAAAAUGUUUAUGAGAUUAUCAAAACACUUCGGGUUUCGCAGUUCACGCUCGAUAAAUUUUAGCAAAAACAAUGUUAAAAUUCUAGUUCGACUCCUAUGCAAUUUUUUGUUUCAAAAGUCUCACGUAGUGAUAAGACGCCAUUCUGUCAGUUUAAAGCU